rnacentral:rRNA from 1 species
UACGGAGGGGGCCAGCGUUGUUCGGAAUCAUUGGGCGUAAAGGGCGCGUAGGCGGCUUUGUAAGUCCGUUGUGAAAUCCCUCGGCUCAACCGAGGAACUGCGACGGAUACUGCUUGGCUUGAGUCCCGGAGAGGGUAGCGGAAUUCCCAGUGUAGCGGUGAAAUGCGUAGAUAUUGGGAGGAACACCGGUGGCGAAGGCGGCCCUCUGGACCGGUACUGACGCUGAUGCGCGAAAGCGUGGGGAGCAAACAGG